UACCACUUCUUGCUCCUCAGCAGGCCACGUCACCCACCAGCAGCUGCCGUCCGAUCGCCGAGCCAUUGGCUGUGAUCGGUUGGAGCUGCUUCCGCAUGUAGCGGCUUCCCAUGGUCAUUGUUGCCCUCCUGACUUCUGCUACGAAAUUAAUCAGCCAGAUAUUUCGUGACUCAUCCAUCCUCUCUCUCUCUCCAGUCUCCCGAACCUUCCCCUCGCGCAAUCCCGACCAAGGCGCCGCCGCUCCCAGCCACUGCCUCCGGCGCCGCUCUGAGCGGCCGCGCUCCCGAGCGCCAUCCGCCCCACCGGCCCCCCAACCCGCACAGAGGUUGCGAGCCCGCCGCUGGUGGCCACGGUGCCGCGAGGCCGCAUCUCCGCCCUCACCGGCUCAGAUUCGCCAGGUGCUCCGUCUGUCCCAGCGCCGCGCACUCCACCCCUGCCUCUUCCUUGCUCUGACGUCCCAACGCUGUGAUGCGCUACCUCGGAGCCCCAGCGCAAGCAGACCCUAGCGGAGCAGCUCGGGCGCCGGCGUCUCCCUUGGUCCCACUCCCGUGUCCGUGUCGAGCCGGCGAUGCCCCGCCAGUGCCUUUAGGCCGUGCGAACGUCCUCCAGGUUCCAGCAUCCAGCCAAGCUCUGCCAGCCGCCGGGAUUCCUGGGCACCUCUGUCGUGUACACUCAUAUGCUUCAGAUGCCGGCUGCAAUUUGUGAUUCACCAUAUUAAAUGGGGCUUAUGCCGCAUCUGUUGCCACGGAGUCCGCUGCCUAAACUGAAGGGGAGUUGCCUACCUAAACUCAAUGGUACAAAUAUUAUUGUUCAACUAUUCACAGGCAUCGUCUAUUCUACUUACAGACUCAUUUCUCGAAUCAGAGCAUCCAGAAAUUUAAACCAACAUAUCUUGCUGUUAUUUCAGCAGUUCACAGCCAAACAGCUGAGUAUGCCUCUUCAAUUAAUCUGAAGGUGCCUCAGGUGGCAUAAUGACCUGUAAAUCUGGAGCUGCUCCUUGAUGAAAAGUGUGACAGCAAGGUGCCACCAUCAAAUCAUCUCUGCAAGAUAUCAUUUCAAGAAUAGUCUGUUCACGUGCGAAACAUUAGGUUCUGUGAUCUGUUCACUCUUUAUCCUUUAUUUAAUACAUAAUACUUCAAAAAAAUGUAAUUGGGAGUUUCAAUAAUCUUUCUGUAUGCCCAUAAUUACAGUAAGUAUUACCAAACAUACCACGUGCAAUGCGCGGGGGGACUGCCUA